rnacentral:rRNA from 1 species
GACGAACGCUGGCGGCGUGCUUAACACAUGCAAGUCGAGCGGAAAGGCCCUGCGCUUGCUGCUCGCUCGAGUGGCGAGCGGGUGUGUAACACGUGAGUAACCUGCCCCUGACUUUGUGAUAACUUCAGGGAACUGGGGCUCAUACCGGAUAUGAGCUCCUGCUGCGUGGUGGGUGUUGGAAAGUUUCGGCGGUUGUGGAUGGUCUCGCGGCUUAUCAGCUUGUUUGUGAGGUAGGGGCUUACCAAGGCUUUGACGGGUAGCCUGCCUGAGAGGGUGACCGGCGACCUGGGGACUGAGAUACGGCGCAGACUGCUACGGGAGGCAGCAGUGGGGAAUAUUGCGGAAUGGGCGGAAGCCUGAUGAAGCAACGCCGCGUGCGGGAUGACGGCCUUCGGGUUGUAAACCGCUUUCGCCUGUGACGAAGCGUGAGUGACGGUACCGGGUAAAGAAGCACCGGCUAACUACGUG